rnacentral:rRNA from 1 species
UACGUAGGGUGCGAGCGUUAAUCGGAAUUACUGGGCGUAAAGCGUGCGCAGGCGGUUCGUUAAGUCAGAUGUGAAAGCCCCGGGCUCAACCUGGGAACUGCAUUUGAAACUGGCGGGCUUGAGUAUGGCAGAGGGGGGUGGAAUUCCUGGUGUAGAGGUGAAAUUCGUAGAUAUCAGGAGGAACAUCGGUGGCGAAGGCGGCAUCCUGGACCGGCAUUGACGCUGAGGCGCGAAAGCCAGGGGAGCAAACGGG